rnacentral:lncRNA from 1 species
AGAUUGAUUUUAUCAGAUGUAAAGUCUAAGUUGUGUUAUGGAUGCAAUAUUACUUUGAAAGAAAUGGGUGAGAAAUACGAACUUCUACCUUACUUUACAUUGAAAACUAUCCAACAAAUGAAAAAUAGAACAAGAAUGAAAAACGAAAUCAAAGAUUUUCUGCUUUAAAUCAUGUUAGCUUAUUACUUGGAAAACGAUGUAAAAAUAAAUAUUU